GACUUCUUGGCGUAGCUUGGUUAUCGCGUCUGCCUAACACGCAGAAGGUCGCCAGUUCGAACCUGGCAGAAGUCA